GGCGUGCCUAACACAUGCAAGUCGAACGGUAACAGGUCUUCGGAUGCUGACGAGUGGCGCACGGGUGAGUAACGCGUGGAUAUCUGCCUAUUAGUGGGGGACAACUUGUGGAAACGCAAGCUAAUACCGCAUAAUCCCUACGGGGGAAAGCAGGGGACCUUCGGGCCUUGUGCUGAUAGAUGAGUCCGCGUCUGAUUAGCUAGUUGGUAGGGUAAAGGCCUACCAAGGCGAUGAUCAGUAUCUGGUUUGAGAGGAUGAUCAGACACACUGGAACUGAGACACGGUCCAGACUCCUACGGGAGGCAGCAGUGGGGAAUAUUGCACAAUGGGGGAAACCCUGAUGCAGCGACGCCGCGUGUGGGAAGAAGGCUUUCGGGUUGUAAACCACUUUCAAUUGGGAAGAAGAGAUGAGUGUUAAUAACAUUCUGAUUUGACGGUACCUUUAGAAGAAGCACCGGCUAAUUUCGUGCCAGCAGCCGCGGUAAUACGAAAGGUGCAAGCGUUGUUCGGAUUUACUGGGCGUAAAGAGAGUGUAGGUUGUUUAUUAAGUCGGAUGUGAAAUCCCGGGGCUCAACCUCGGAACUGCAUUCGAUACUGGUAGACUAGAGUUCGGGAGGGGUAAGCGGAAUUCCGCGUGUAGCAGUGAAAUGCGUAGAUAUGCGGAGGAACACCUGAGGCGAAGGCGGCUUACUGGACCGAUACUGACACUGAGACUCGAAAGCGUGGGUAGCAAACAGGAUUAGAUACCCUGGUAGUCCACGCCCUAAACGAUGUCAACUAGCCGUUGCGGGUAUCGACCCCUGCAGUGGCGAAGCUAACGCGAUAAGUUGACCGCCU
rnacentral:rRNA from 1 species